AAUAAAUAAUGAUAUCCAUCAAGAUAUUACUGGUGGCUCAUCUUGUAUAGUACAUCUUUUGAAAAUCUCCAGAUGGUAUAAUCUAUAUGGGAGAGACAACCCAAAGUAUGAAAGAUGAAUUCUCCAAACAGAGAUCAAACAUAUGGGCAGGAAAAUUGUUACCGUCUAUUUUUGCUCUGUUUAUUGAAGUGAGGAACAAUUUAUCACAAUUGAAAUUUCAAAUUAUGGACUUUGCACAGAAACCAAGAAGUCUAAAUGCUAG